AUGGUCAGCUACUCCAGUGCUAUUUCAGACAUCAGGGCGAUCUUUUUACUGUUUCUGUUUUUCUCUUUUAAUCUCCUCAAGCUGUUUUUCUCAGAAAUAAGGAAGCCAGAAUCAUAUGACCAAACAGCUCCUUCUCAGGUCAUGACCUACCUGGCGAUUUCUGGGCUGUGUCUGAUCCUGGUUACCCUCACCACACCUGCUCCUGACCUGUGGACUGACCUCCCUGGCUUGACCUUGGACCUACCUCGUCACCAUGGACUUGCCUGACGAUCUGGANNNNNNNNNNNNNNNNNNNNNNNNNNNNNNNNCCCUCGUUCAGUUACUGGGGGACCAGGUCCUGGCUGGUGAGGUCUCUGCCCUGCUGGCUGUGGUAUGGCUCUUGGCUCCCUGUCCCUUAAGGAGCAGCUGGCCUUCACUGCUCCUUUGCAUUUGGAGCACAAACCCAGCACACAGGAGUUGCUUAUAGAAGCAUCAGACCUGAUAGCAUAAAGCAAGCAUGUGAGCAGUUGAAUCUGUAAAGGAAGAGCAUGUGAAAUCAAGAAGCAGAAAUCAAGAAUUAUAUGCUUUUGGAAAACAAGGAGAAACUGAUGAGUAAAGGUGGGUGGGAAAUGACAGAUGUUAGGACAUGAUACCUUCUGAGAAGGGAAAGGACAUAGAAUGAAAGAAAGAAUAAUGAGCAAAUGAAGAGGGAGUAAAGGUGAAUUUAAUGCAACAAAAGCUAGUAAAAAUUAUAGAAGAGAACAAAUAUUAGAAAGUGACCCUGUUCAACAGUACAAAUCUUAGCUCAGAAUCCUGUGGGACUUUACUGUAAAAAACCUUUUAUUCCCUACUGUAUUUUUAAUGAGGAUUUCCCAUAAUCUUCUGUGACAACCAGAUCUCUUUAAGAAACUUUGAAGGGAAAUGGGCAAAGGCUUUCUAGAAAUUCAGGUCUACUCUCUAGACGAGUCUCAAGUCUGGACUGCAGUAUGAGGGGAAAUAUCCAUGUAAACACUGUCUGCUUCAUCCAGCAAGGUUUUAAUCUGUGUGAAUCAAAGUAAAAUCAAUAAGAAAAUUAAAGCAUGUACCUUAACAAAUAGAAUAACCAAAAAAGAAGAGUAUAUGAUGUCCGUAAUAGCUGUUAUUCAAGCUGCUUAGUCAGUCCUUAGGAUAUGUCACUAAUGUGUUAAUGCAGUCCUGGAUAUUCCACUAAUAACAGGUAAUAUAAGAAUCUUCAUAAAACAUAACAGAAUCAGCUAACAAAAAAUAAAAGAUGCUGUUGGAGAAAAGAAGCA
rnacentral:lncRNA from 1 species